GCCUGUCUGGCUCAGUUGAUAGAGCAUGUGACUCUUGAUCUUGGAAUCAUGAGUUUGAGCCCCAUGUUGGGUG
rnacentral:tRNA from 1 species